rnacentral:lncRNA from 1 species
UCUUCUUUUUUUCACAUACAAUUGAUCAACUCUUGAUCAGUCUUUGGAUCAUUUAGAUCAACCCUUUGAUCAGCCUUUUCUUCUUCCUUGGAUCUUCUUUGAUGUAGAUCAGCCACCAACUAAAGAGAUGAAGAAAGAGGGGAUGCCCAAACACCUUUGGGUGUGUGGAAGCUUGGAUGCCCAAGCCUUUGGGCAUUAGAGAAAGAGAGGGAGAGAGGGGAGGCAUUGAGACUCUCUCUUGGGCAGAUUGCUUGGAGGCUUGGUUGCUUCUAAAGAUCAAAGGGUGGUCCCCUUAUAUAGACUUUUAAUUGUAGUCUUAAUCAAACUCCAAAUCUUUAUUUAAAGAGGAUUCCUAAUCUCAUUAGGACUCCUUCUUUUAAAGCCUUAAACCUUAUCAUGAGUCCUUAUCAAAUAAGGAAAGAGGACAUGAAGUCCUUAUGCCACAAGGAAUGGGGCGUGGGCCCCAUCCAAGCCAUCCAAUGGCCCAUGCCCAAAUCUAAUUUGAUGGAGCCA